rnacentral:rRNA from 1 species
AGAGUUUGAUCCUGGCUCAGAUUGAACGCUGGCGGAAUGCUUUACACAUGCAAGUCGAACGGUAGAGGGGGCAACCCCUCGAGAGUGGCGAACGGGUGAGUAAUAUAUCGGAACGUGCCCAGUCGUGGGGGAUAACGUAGCGAAAGUUACGCUAAUACCGCAUACGAUCUAUGGAUGAAAGCGGGGGACCGUAAGGCCUCGCGCGAUUGGAGCGGCCGAUAUCAGAUUAGGUAGUUGGUGGGGUAAAGGCUCACCAAGCCAACGAUCUGUAGCUGGUCUGAGAGGACGACCAGCCACACUGGAACUGAGACACGGUCCAGACUCCUACGGGAGGCAGCAGUGGGGAAUUUUGGACAAUGGGCGCAAGCCUGAUCCAGCAAUGCCGCGUGCAGGAAGAAGGCCUUCGGGUUGUAAACUGCUUUUGUACGGAACGAAACGGUCUGAGUUAAUACCUCGGGCUAAUGACGGUACCGUAAGAAUAAGCACCGGCUAACUACGUGCCAGCAGCCGCGGUAAUACGUAGGGUGCAAGCGUUAAUCGGAAUUACUGGGCGUAAAGCGUGCGCAGGCGGUGAUGUAAGACAGUCGUGAAAUCCCCGGGCUCAACCUGGGAAUUGCGAUUGUGACUGCAUCGCUGGAGUGCGGCAGAGGGGGAUGGAAUUCCGCGUGUAGCAGUGAAAUGCGUAGAUAUGCGGAGGAACACCGAUGGCGAAGGCAAUCCCCUGGGCCUGCACUGACGCUCAUGCACGAAAGCGUGGGGGAGCAAACAGGAUUAGAUACCCUGGUAGUCCACGCCCUAAA